UCUAACUUUGUUUCUCAGGUUCAGUCCCAGCCUUCUGUUCCAGCCAAGCUGAGGCCCCAGCGGAUACACCAGACCCACAGCUGGCCACACGCUAUACUCUGUGCUCUCCCAAGGAUAUGAGAAGCUGGACACUCCCCUCAGGCCUGCCAGGCAACAGCCUACACCCACCUCAGACAGCAGCUCUGACAGCAACCUCACAACUGAGGAGGAUGAGGACAGGCCUGAGGUGCACAAGCCCAUCAGUGGAAGAUAUGAGGUAUUUGACCAGGUCACUCAGGAGGGCGCUGGACAUGACCCAGCCCCUGAGGGCCAAGCAGACUAUGAUCCCGUCACUCCAUAUGUCACGGAAGUUGAGUCUGUGGUUGGAGAGAACACCAUGUAUGCACAAGUGUUCAACUUACAGGAAAGACCCCAGUUUCUCAGAAGGAAGAGAGCUCAGCCACAAUCUACUGCUCCAUACGGAAACCUCAGUGGUGCCACCACCACAACAGAAUGAUCUUGAGAUUCCUGAAAGUCCUACCUAUGAAAAUUUCACCUGA
rnacentral:lncRNA from 1 species